rnacentral:rRNA from 1 species
AGUGAACGCUGGCGGUAGGCCUAACACAUGCAAGUCGAACGGCAGCACAGUAAGAGCUUGCUCUUACGGGUGGCGAGUGGCGGACGGGUGAGGAGUACAUCGGAAUCUACUUUUUCGUGGGGGAUAACGUAGGGAAACUUACGCUAAUACCGCAUACGACCUACGGGUGAAAGCAGGGGAUCUUCGGACCUUGCGCGAUUGAAUGAGCCGAUGUCGGAUUAGCUAGUGGGCGGGGUAAAGGCCAACCAAGGCGACGAUCCGUAGCUGGUCUGAGAGGAUGAUCAGCCACACUGGAACUGAGACACGGUCCAGACUCCUGCGGGAGGCAGCAGUGGGGAAUAUUGGACAAUGGGCGCAAGCCUGAUCCAGCCAUACCGCGUGGGUGAAGGAGGCCUUCGGGUUGUAAAGCCCUUUUGUUGGGAAAGAAAAGCAGCAGGUUAAUACCCCGCUGUUCUGACGGUACCCAAAGAAUAAGCACCGGCUAACUUCGUG